rnacentral:sRNA from 1 species
UAGAUGUCACUCCAGACCAUAUCGUAAACUCCUGAUAACUCAUGUGUUAAACGUUUGCCUUCGCUAACUCCUGGGGCAACACGUUGGUUGCAGGCCUGUCGGGGAUGCGACAUACAGCGGGAGGAGGGCGUUGCCGGGCGAUACGCGGUAAAUUAGCGAAGGAUUUUGGCUUAUCCCGGGGCAAAGUGGAAGAGGGAAAACCGAUAUCUGUGCAAAUCCAGCAGGAUUUUUAUCGCUAAUUGUGGGAAAAUCACCCCACAUACACUUUGUAGGGAAAUAAAAGGAGCUUACGAUGAGUACCGAUCUGAAGUUUUCCGUGGUGACUACGGUUAUCGUACUGAGUCUGAUUGUUGCCGGGGCGCUAACCGCCGUUCUGCACUGAUUU